GAACUGGACUCUCCCGGCGCAGGACGCGGCCCGACCGUGUGCACUUUCCGCGGGCAGAGCGCCACGACCGGUUCUCGGGCGGUCAGAAGGCGGCGGGGAUGGUAGGUGCGCGCUUCGGCGUGCGCUGGUAUAGCCCCGCCUGUCCCGAUCCGCUCGGGGACCGAGGAGCCGCCGUCGGCGAGUUGGCCGCCCCGCCCUCCUGGGAUGCUUCGACUGGCAGAGACUGGGCAACCGUGUCUGCCGACCGCUUCCUCGGACGGUCUUAGGGGUGGGCCCGCCGGCACAGGGUCGGUGGCGAAUCGGUCGGCCCUCCACCCGACCCGUCUUGAAACACGGACCAAGGAGUCUAACAUGCGCGCGAGUCGUUGGGUCGUACGAAACCCGAAGGCGAAGUGAAAGCGAGGGCCGGUCUCUGACCGUGCUCAGGUGGGAUCCUGCCUCCCUUCCAAGCGGGGUGGGCGCACCACCGGCCCGUCUCGUCCGCGUUGUCGGUGAGGCGGAGCAUGAGCGUGCACGUUGGGACCCGAAAGAUGGUGAACUAUGCCUGAGUAGGACGAAGCCAGAGGAAACUCUGGUGGAGGUCCGCAGCGAUUCUGACGUGCAAAUCGAUCGUCAAACUUGGGUAUAGGGGCGAAAGACUAAUCGAACCAUCUAGUA
rnacentral:rRNA from 1 species